rnacentral:rRNA from 1 species
GUGCCAGCAGCCGCGGUAAUACGUAGGGUGCGAGCGUUGUCCGGAAUUACUGGGCGUAAAGAGCUCGUAGGUGGUUUGUCGCGUCGUCUGUGAAAUUCCGGGGCUUAACUCCCGGGCGUGCAGGCGAUACGUGCAUAACUUGAGUACUGUAGGGGAGACUGGAAUUCCUGGUGUAGCGGUGAAAUGCGCAGAUAUCAGGAGGAACACCGGUGGCGAAGGCGGGUCUCUGGGCAGUAACUGACGCUGAGGAGCGAAAGCAUGGGUAGUGAACAGGAUUAGAUACCCUGGUAGUCC